CAUCGUUUGGAGAAGAGGAGAGGAGAGACACAGAGCUGAACCACACCAAGUGUCCGCCGAAUGUCUGCUUCUUCACGCUGCCAAUGAAAAAUCCUCGCAUUCCUAUGUCUGCCAGUUGACAUACUGAACGCGAAGGACCAGGCUUCCAACUCUGCAAGGAUUCAGGACUCCUAAAGCGGGUUGCGCGUUUUUUCAGGAGCACCUGACGUUUCCUGUGGCAGAUUUACCUACUGGAUCAUGGCACAGACCAACAGCGGUGGGCAGGGGACCAACGGGGUAGCGGAUGAGUCCCCCAACAUGAUAGUGUACAGAAAGAUGGAAGAAGUAAUAGCACACAUGCAGGAUGACAAAAAUGGCAUCCCGAUCCGAACAGUGAAAAGUUUUUUAACGAAGAUCCCCAGUGUUUUUUCAGGUUCUGAAAUUGUACAGUGGAUGAUCAAGAAUCUGGACAUCGAAGAUCAAG